rnacentral:lncRNA from 1 species
UUCUUCUUCUUCUUAUAGAAUGUUCCAAUCAGGAAGACAAACAAAGCAGAAGUGGAGCAUAUCACAGCCAUAGCGUUGAAACGACAAAUGCUUUAAAAGCUACUUUCCUCACUAGAACCGCCAUGCCCUGGUUGGGACCGGCAUUGCCAUCGUAGCCACCUGGUAGUGUGAAACCAGCUGCAAAAGUCACGGUUGCUAUAAGUGCAGCAACUACCAUAUUAUUCUCGAUGACUUUAUUUAUGUCUAGUUUUAUUAUUUUUUCAAAUUCUGCUUUAUCUUCCUUAAUCUUUGCUAUCUUUCACUAUCUUCGCGAGCUAAGUUCCUCCCAUCCUUGUGGAGCCUUAACCUUGCCCAGAGCUUUAAUGAUAAAUUCCUGCAUUUUGUUUUCGAUCCAUGUGAAAUUAAUAGCAAGAUGGUUAGCAAUAUUGUGAUAAUCUCAAGGUAUCAAAAGCCUCUCGCCAUAUCACCCAUUCUUCCAUAUGUUUGCCUUCGGUCGGGUUCGCCAAACACGUCAAAGAAAAAUGAGAGUAAUUUUCACUUCUAACUUCAUUAAUGACCUCUUUUUUCGAUAACAUAGGUAAAUUUUGCAGUACCUUCCUAGAUGUUUCUAACUCUAUCAAAUACAAAUGCUCCCUCUACUUCCUAGAAAUUAUAGUUAACCUCUUAUCAGAUUUAACCGAUCAACAUUUGGAACAAAAACAGUCCAAAAUUACAUUAUUUCCAUUAUUGUUGAGAAAUCUAAAAUAACUAGGAGGCUGAUUUGUACAAUGCACAAGAUGAAAAAAUCAUAAUAAUAAGUAUCAGUUGAAUUGCUACACAUGUAGAUAUAUAUUGAUCUACAUGUGUAUAAAAUACUAUUUCUCAUAAAAGGUAUGUAUUUUGUGUAUCAAUUACACCAAUUACAUAAAAGACAUAAAAAACUACCAUAUAUUAACUACUAUACUAGUAACCUUUGAUUAUGUUAUUGUGUAUCCUAUUCAUAGCAUCUUUGUAAGAACUAAUAAUUGAUAUAAUUAUAAUAUUAAUAAUAGAAAAACGGAUAAGAUCUAAAGAGAAAAGUCAACCUUAUCUCCUUAAAAAAAAUAAAAAAGAAUAAUAAUAAAAAAGAAUAAAAAAAUAAAAAAUUAAAUUAAAAAGUAUUGAAAAACUGAAAGAAAAGAAAACAAUCAAACAACCGUUUGACAGAGUUGAAUGGUGCUUGUAGUGCGCCGGUUGAAAAAGCACUUAGAGAUAUUUAUAUGAGUGUAUGAAAUUGAAUUGUUUGAAUUAAGUAUUUAAAAGGCAACAUUUAAUAGAAAACAAUAUUUCUAUUUUAUUGAAGUUUGUGUCUUGCAUGGUUGAGUACAUAAAUGUAUAUAGAAAGUUUAUCAAAAUAAAAAGAGCAGAGCAACUUUGGUUUAUAACUAGACACUUGCAUAAUAAAAGAAAACAUAAAGUUCUAAAAAGUGCCAACUAGAAAAAUGGAAAAAAAUUAUACAAAACUAAGUUUAUUAUUGUUAAAAGAUUAAUUCUCUCUCUCCCCACAUAAAAACCACCACUUCAUUGAAUCGCCAUAUGAUGCAAUUUUAGGAAUUUUAUAUUUUAGUUUUUUUUAUUUUUAAUAUAGUAAUAUAUUAAGAAUAUUGCAAUUUCAUUUAGAUUGGCUAAAAUAUUUAAUUUUCUUAUUUGUUUUUAUUUUAUUUUCCUUUUCGAUUUGUUUCUUAUUCUCCAAAAAAUAGGUUUUAAUUAUAAAUACGCUUGUAACACUCAGGGAAAGAGAGUUUUUUGAUUAAUAAAAACUAAGUGAUUAAAGAGUUUGUUUUCUUUUUUUUCCAAACUAUUUGGUAUUUUUCAGAAUUAACAAAGUGUUUGAUGCCUUUAUUCUCGAUAUUCUGUGUGAAUCAACAGGUUUAGAGAGGAAUUUCGUUUUCUGCAUUCGUAAAAUCAACGAAUUCAAGGUCGUUUAUCCUUUUCUGUUCUUUUUUCUCUUUUUACGUUUCUGCGCUUUGCUCAGUUGUUGUUGAGAUUCUCCAGAAUCCUCAUGUGUCUUAGCAUCCUUCUUCCUAUUUGUAGUGAUGGACCCUUUGAUAUAGAAGCGUGUGAUAUAUUGUAAUAAUGUGGUUGUGAUUCUUUACUUCUCCAUGUCAGCUAUACAUUUUCAUAUAAAUACAAUACAGGUCCCACCUAAAGCACGGUGUUUCAUCACAUUCUCAUGGUAUCAGGCUAUAGGUUAAAUUCAAAAAAUUUUCUUCCUUCUCCUCCAUGAUGGAUGAGCCUCUCUCCUUCAAUACUAUGGUCCACAUGAUCACCAGUCGGCCACUAAUUUUUUACUCUAGAAAAGCCAACUCCUGCCUCUCCUUCAAUGCCAAGACUGUCACAGUUUCGUUGAUGGUUCUCUUCAAAAACCAUUUGAAACUCUACCCAACAUCAUAGAUGGCACUUCUAAUCCCAACCCCAAAUUCCUUGAAUGGAAACUCAAAGAUCAACGGAUUCUAAGUCUGCUAUUGUAAUCUCUCACGGAAGAAGCCAUGGUAGCUGUUGUUGGCCAUGCAACCUCUCGGGAUGUCUGGGUUGCACUUGAACGUGCAUGCAACCAUGGAUCGAAAACUCAGGAGAUUCGCCUAAAGGAUGAACUUCAACUCAUGAAGAAAAGAAAUCGUUCUAUCGCUGAAUUUGCCCGUGCAUUGAAAGGCCUAUGUGAUCAGUUAAUGGCCAUCGAACGACCAAUCGAUGAAGUCGACAAAUCUCACUGGUUUCUCCGUGCUCUCGGCAAUAAGUUUGCUGGUUUCUCCUCAACGCAGAUGCCUUUUACGCCUUUGCCUUCAUUUCAAGAUUUGGUCCAUCUGGUUGAAAGUUUUGAUUUGUUUCAAAAAUCACUUGAAGCUCCCACUCUCUCUUCUGCAGCUUUCACAACAACUAAAGCCCCUGGUCGUCGUGGACAAUUUAAUUCCACAGGUAAUCGUCACUACAGGGGUGGUUCAAAUGGCAGCAUAGGUGGCUUUUCUUCUAGAAAUUCUGGAAGUCAUUCCUAUGGCAAUAAUCGAUCUCGUCGGUCAUACAACCUUCGUUGCCAAAUCUGCAAAAUAGAAGGACACACUGCCGAUCGAUGUCGGAACCGAUAUGAUCGUGCAGAGCCAUCAGCACACCUUGCUGAAGCCUUUUAGAGUGGCUGCUCUCUCUUCAACAGCCCCUCUAGCUCAUAUUGGUACCUUGACACGGGUGCCUCUGCUCACAUGACGCCGGACUCGAUUGCACUAGACACUUCCGAGAAAUAUGAUGGUAAGGUUACAGUUAUUGUGGGAAAUGGGCCUUCCUUACCCAUCACCCAUACGGGUACCUCUUAACCCUCUCCAAAUUUAAAACUGCUUGAUAUUUUAUUGGUACCUCACCUCAUCAAAAAUCUUUUAUCCAUUAGUAAAUUGCCUUCUGAUUCCUCUGCGGUCCUAUUUUACUGACUCCUUCUUUUUGGUUAUUUAGAAUAAGAUCCCAAGAAAGAUGGUGGCAACUGGAAGACGUGAUGGCGGUCUCUAAUUACUAGAAGCUAAAGCAAUGAUACUUUUUUCUUUCUAUACUAAAUAAUCUGUCCAAUGGGUGUCGCAGGACCUAGCAUGCACCUCUUGGCCAUGUUAACCACAUCUAUUAUUGCUACUGAAUGAAAAAGGACAUUUAUCUCAUACUUUUAUUUUGCUAAUCUUGCUAGUUGCCUACGUGGGAAAUUUGCUAAAUUCAGAAGCUUCCCUUAGUCUACUAAUAAUACUUGAUCACAUAAACUAAUCAUGCCUUUUUUUAAUGGCUUUUGGCAGAACAUGUCUAUAGGGAGGCAACCUCCUGCUUGUUGAUCCAUUUUCCUCCUCAUGUCUGCAAACUCAAGAAGGCUCUUGAUGUUCCUCAAGCGGGGCUCUGCGUGAGUGGUUCCAGCAUUCAGCUCAUUUUCUUUGACCAAUUUGGGUUUGACUAACUUGCAGUCAUGCUGAUAACCUCCAGGAUACCGAUCCGUAUUUAUUCUUUAUCGCCAGCAGCACGUUAUUUUAUCUCUUACUAUAUGUUGAUGAUAUUAUCUCCUGGCAACAAUAACUUUCUUCUCAGCAUUUUUCAUUCAACAGCUUCACUCAGAGUUUGUGAUGCAAUAUCAAGGCUGAGAUUCUUGGAGAUCCAAGGCCGUCAUUAUUACCCACGUGGCUGUUAAACUUAAUCGUCGUAACUUUUGCUACGUAACUUACUCCGUUUCCCUCUUAUAAUAUAUCGUGUGGAAAGCUCUCGAUGAACGAAGACCUGGCACAUGCAAAAAAUGCUUCCAAGUUAUGAUUGGCCUAUUUGUUUGUGGCUUUUUUUCUACAAUUUUCGUAAUUUAUUAUUUUCUUUUAAACCGGUUUUUCUCGGUCCUAGGGUUUUGUGACCUAUAUUAUACGUUAUUCUUUAGGGUUUCAGUAGUUUUUGAUAUUAAUAUUAUUUAUGCCGUUUUUCAAUCGUUCGGUAUUCUUGCGAAUCAACAAUCGUUGGAGAUGCCUCGUUAACUACUUGUUUCGUUGAAUCAACGUUUGGAAGCCAGUAAUUUUCGUAAUCAACGGUUAUUGGUUUCUUGUAAUUGUCCGCUGCCAUCAGUUUCUACCACAAUUUAGGUUCCUCAUCUAACUUUCCUUGGUCUUGAGUCACCCUCACCUCGACAUGACUCUUUCUCGUCAGACCAAGUCUGCUCAUGACAUUCUUGCGCGGCUCAGCUUCUUGACUGCAAACCAGUACCCACUCUAUGGUGUUUCCAGCACCUUUCCUCAUGUAGUUCCUCAUUUGCAGUGUCACCCUCUACUGCUCUCAUGUUGGUGCCUUGCAUACCGAACGCAUCACUCGUCUAACCCUUCUCAUUUGUACACGCAGUCAGCCAAUAUUUGCAUGCUCUUACUGACACCAUUUUUAGAAGCUGUGAACACGCAUUCUUCGUAUGUCAAGGAAACUCUUCACUUGGCCUAUCAUUCAAUGUCUCUUCUUCUCCCACUAGCAUUAUAUUACCUACUCCAUGCUUAUUG